rnacentral:rRNA from 1 species
UACAGAGGUGGCAAGCGUUGUUCGGAAUUACUGGGCGUAAAGGGCGCGUAGGCGGUUCGUUAAGUCCUGUGUGAAAUCCCCCGGCUCAACUGGGGAACUGCACAGGAAACUAGCGGGCUUGAGUUCGGGAGAGGGAAGCGGAAUUCCGCGUGUAGUGGUGAAAUGCGUAGAGAUGCGGAAGAACACCAGUGGCGAAGGCGGUCAACUGGCCUCAUAUUGACACUCAGACGCGAAGGCAUGGGUAGCGAACGGG